rnacentral:rRNA from 1 species
CACAUGCAAGUCGAACGAGAAUUAAUCCCGGUUAAUUCUAGUGGCGGACGGGUGAGUAACACGUGAGAAUUCGCCUUUAGGAGGGGGAUAACGGAUGGAAACAUUCGCUAAAACCCCAUAUGCCCUCGGGUGAAAAAGAGAAAGUAAGUCAUACUGAUUUAUCUCUGCCUGAAGAGAAGCUCGCGGCUGAUUAGCUAGUUGGUAGGGUAAAGGCCUACCAAGGCGACGAUCAGUAGCUGGUCUGAGAGGACGAUCAGCCACACUGGAACUGAGACACGGUCCAGACUCCUACGGGAGGCAGCAGUGAGGAAUUUUCUGCAAUGGGCGAAAGCCUGACAGAGCAAUACCGCGUGGGGGAUGAAGACUUACUGAGUUGUAAACCUCGGUACCCUAAGGAAGAAGAUAUGACGGUACUUAGGGUGGAAAGCAUCGGCUAACUCCGUGCCAGCAGCCGCGGUAAGACGGGGGAUGCAAGUGUUAUCCGGAUUUACUGGGCGUAAAGCGUCUGCAGGUGGUUUCUUAAGUCUACUGUUAAAUCUUGAGGCUCAACCUCAAAUCUGCAGUAGAAACUAGGAGACUUGAGUAUAGUAGGGGUAGAGGGAAUUUCCAGUGGAGCGGUGAAAUGCGUAGAUAUUGGAAAGAACACCGAUGGCGAAGGCACUCUACUGGGCUAUUACUGACACUCAGAGACGAAAGCUAGGGGAGCAAAUGGGAUUAGAUACCCCAGUAGUCCUAGCCGUAAACGAUGGAUACUCGAUGUUGGACGUAUCGACCCGUUCAGUAUCUUAGCUAACGCGUUAAGUAUCCCGCCUGGGGGGUACGCUCGCAGAGUGAAACUCAAAGGAAUUGACGGGGGCCCGCACAAGCGGUGGAGGAUGUGGUUUAAUUCGAUGC